rnacentral:rRNA from 1 species
GUCAGCGACUGGGGUGAAGUCGUAACAAGGUAGCCGUAGGGGAACCUGCGGCUGGAUCACCUCCUUUCUAAGGA